UGCAUAUCAAAAAGCGGAGGAAAAGAAACCAACAGGGAUUGCCUCAGUAACGGCGAGUGAAGCGGCAAAAGCUCAAAUUUGAAAUCUAGCACCUUCGGUGUUCGAGUUGUAAUUUGAAGAUGGUAACCUUGGGUUUGGCUCUUGUCUAUGUUCCUUGGAACAGGACGUCAUAGAGGGUGAGAAUCCCGUCUGAUGAGAUGCCCAUUCCUAUGUAAGGUGCUAUCGAAGAGUCGAGUUGUUUGGGAAUGCAGCUCUAAGUGGGUGGUAAAUUCCAUCUAAAGCUAAAUAUUGGCGAGAGACCGAUAGCGAACAAGUACAGUGAUGGAAAGAUGAAAAGAACUUUGAAAAGAGAGUGAAAAAGUACGUGAAAUUGUUGAAAGGGAAGGGCAUUAGAUCAGACUUGGUGUUUUACGAUUAUCUUCUCUUCUUGAGUUGUGCACUCGUAUUUCACUGGGCCAGCAUCGAUUCGGAUGGCAAGAUAAUGGCAGUUGAAUGUGGCUUCACUUCGGUGGAGUGUUAUAGCUUCUGCUGAUAUUGCCUGUCUGGAUCGAGGGCUGCGUCUUUUGACUAGGAUGCUGGCGUAAUGAUCUAAUGCCGCCCGUCUUGAACCACGGACCA
rnacentral:rRNA from 1 species